rnacentral:lncRNA from 1 species
CUCUCUGAAUCAAGAAUGAAAAUUGUGGGCAGAUCCUCAUUCUUUGUACCCAUAUUCAUGUUCCCAACAUAAUGUUCAACUUCUUGAUUUGUAUUGUCUUGAGACGAAGUUUAUUUUCCACUGAACUCUCUAAGAAGUUGUUAUUGGCUCCACUGUCUAGCAUCACAAUGACUUGUAUUUUUUCAAUCCGCCCCCAAAACUUUGUUGUUAUAGGUAAUGGCAGUCCCAAGAACGAGAAUAACGACAACUCCAUUAACCUUGGGAGAACCAUGUUCUCAUCCUAAAAUGUAUUAAGUAACUCCUCAUUCCAAAUCUCUGCUUCUGAUCCUUCUAUUGUCGUCGAAAACUUUAGAUCACAUUUGUGACAAAGUCUCAGUCUUCUCUUUUAUGCCACAUCUCAGCCUGUGUUAAAUGUCGUGGACCAUUAAUAACUCCAGAUUUUUGACGUUUCAUUGCGGUUUAUCACUGUGUUGUCUUUUGUUCUCAAUAUUCUCAUUAGCUCUAGUUCCCCAAUCAUAGUAAUGUGUUAUCAAACGUUGAGAAUCCCGUGAAGACGACUUAGUAAUCAAAACUGAUUGAGUAAACGCUACACUAAUUUACAAAAUGCAUCAUCUUCCGUCUUAUUCACUACAUAAAUAUAUUGUCUUA